rnacentral:rRNA from 1 species
AUUGAACGCUGGCGGCAGGCCUAACACAUGCAAGUCGAACGAGUGGCGGACGGGUGAGUAAUGUCUGGGAAACUGCCUGAUGGAGGGGGAUCACUACUGGAAACGGUAGCUAAUACCGCAUACCAUCGGAUGUGCCCAGAUGGGAUUAGCUUGUUGGUGGGGUAACGGCUCACAAAGGCGACGAGCCCUAGCUGGUCUGAGAGGAUGACCAGCAACACUGGAACUGAGACAAGGUCCAGACUCCUACGGGAGGCAGCAGUGGGGAAUAGUGAAGAAGGGGCGCAAGGCUGAUGCAGACAUGCCGCGUGUAUGAAGAAGGCCUUAGGGUUGUAAAGUACUUUCAGCUGGGAGGCGUUACCCGCAGAAUAAGCACCGGCUAACUCCGUGCCAGCAGCCGCGGUAAUUC